rnacentral:rRNA from 1 species
AUUGAACGCUGGCGGCAGGCCUAACACAUGCAAGUCGAACGGUAACAGGAAGAAGCUUGCUUCUUUGCUGAUGAGUGGCGGACGGGUGAGUAAUGUCUGGGAAACUGCCUGAUGGAGGGGGAUAACUACUGGAAACGGUAGCUAAUACCGCAUAACGUCGCAAGACCAAAAAGGGGGACCUUCGGGCCUCUUGCCAUCGGAUGUGCCCAGAUGGGAUUAGCUAGUAGGUGGGGUAACGGCUCACCUAGGCGACGAUCCCUAGCUGGUCUGAGAGGAUGACCAGCCACACUGGAACGGAGACACGGUCCAGACUCCUACGGGAGGCAGCAGUGGGGAAUAUUGCACAAUGGGCGCAAGCCUGAUGCAGCCAUGCCGCGUGUAUGAAGAAGGCCUUCGGGUUGUAAAGUACUUUCAGCGGGGAGGAAGGGAGUAAAGUUAAUACCUUUGCUCAUUGACGUUACCCGCAGAAGAAGCACCGGCUAACUCCGUG